GACGAACGCUGGCGGCGUGCUUAACACAUGCAAGUCGAACGGAAAGGCCCUGCUUUUGUGGGGUGCUCGAGUGGCGAACGGGUGAGUAACACGUGAGUAACCUGCCCUUGACUUUGGGAUAACUUCAGGAAACUGGGGCUAAUACCGGAUAGGAGCUCCUGCUGCAUGGUGGGGGUUGGAAAGUUUCGGCGGUUGGGGAUGGACUCGCGGCUUAUCAGCGUGUUGGUGGGGGAGUGGCUUACCAAGGCUUUGACGGGUAGCCGGCCUCAGAGGGUGACCGGCCACAUUGGGACUGAGAUACGGCCCAGACUCCUACGGGAGGCAGCAGUGGGGAAUAUUGCACAAUGGGCGGAAGCCUGAUGCAGCAACGCCGCGUGCGGGAUGACGGCCUUCGGGUUGUAAACCGCUUUCGCCUGUGACGAAGCGUGAGUGACGGUAAUGGGUAAAGAAGCACCGGCUAACUACGUG
rnacentral:rRNA from 1 species